CCUUUCCAACCCUCCCCCAAGAUCCUCCCCAGCAUUGGGGGUGAAGCCUCUGGCCCUUUAAGAGGAGGGGUCCCCACAGUUCAGCCCAGCACAGGCCGUUCUUUUCGGAGGAAGGAUUUUAGGCGUGAUUUUAGGAGCAAUCCCACCUCCCCACCCUCCUCGGGGCGGAAUUUGAGGCCGGCUCACUGUGAGAAUCCAGGUUGUGGAGACCUUGGAGCAGCAUCCCCCAGAGUUCUCCCGAGCUCCUUGACGUGAAGACUCCAAACCCCUCAGAGCACCCCAAACCCCUCACUGCACCCCUGGAUCCCUCAGCAUCCCCUGAGGCCCCUUAGUGACCCUCCAAAACCCCUCAGCCUAAAAUCAACUGCAUAAGAAGCUUCCCUCUCAACUUAGAGCCCUAAUAUAGACCCAUCACCACCGACCUCUGCUCGUUCCCCCCCGAGACCCCCCAAAAGAGGGACCCCCCGCCAUGGAGGAGCUGCUGGAGCUGGGCCCGGGCUCUGAAUUGGGGAGGGGGCUCCGCCUGGCCCGCGACAGCCACGGGGUCUUCGUGGCCGAGGCCCCCAAAUCCCUGCGGCUGCGCCAGGGUGAGGACACCGG